rnacentral:sRNA from 1 species
AUCACCACAAACAUACCUGGAGAUGAUUAUUACAAUAAUAAAUCUGUACAGUCUAAAUUAUCUAUAGUAACAAAACAAGCUCCAGGCAAUGCAUGCAGCAGCUUUUACAAAUGUUCUGACGAGUCAAGUUGUAUCAAUGGAGUCUGUGUUUGUCUGGGCCACUAUUAUCUAAACACUUUGUCCAAAUCUUGUGAACCAAGACUGACCAAAGGCUACGAAUGCAGUCAAACUGAUGAAUGUAAAGAAACUUUGAUAUGCCUACAACGGAGAUGUGGCUGUCAGUCUGGGUAUUAUUAUAACAAUACCAGACAAGGCUGUU